CGUCGUCCGGCUGCAGCAUCGCAGCCGAAACGUCAAGCCGUGAUACCAACGUCCACCUGCCGUGGCCACAAGAAGACUGGCGGCCCGCGGUGUCGUCCGGCUGCAGCAUCGCAGCCGAAACGUCAAGCCUUUCAGUGGAAUGGGUGCGAAAGGAAUGUGGAAAACAGAUAAUUAUCGUCGAUGGGUUCACUUUCUACUGCCAUAAGACUACUAAAAAGACCAAGAUAUGGUCUUGUACCAACGGACGGUGUAAGGCGAGUCUCAUCACGGCGAUCUCGGAGCAAGUGAUCAAAAGGGCCAACCUUGGCCAUGACCAUAAAGCACCGCUGUUCAAUGUAAUUGAUGGGAUUUACAUGAGAUAAGAUAAGAUAUUACUUUAUUGCCUCGUUUUUGCAUGCUUUACAAACAUAGAAAUACAAAGGAAAAUAUUAAAAUAAGAUGAUACAGACGACGGCUCAUCAAGUUUAGCACUAUAGCUACUUAAGGGAGAGUCCGGUAAUUUGGACCAAUUUUUUUCAAUCCCAUCUUACACAUACUUUUGUUUUGUUUUUGCUAAUGUCCUUGGUGUAUAAUAAAAGAGAAAUUAUGCAACUUACUAUUUCAUAGGUAUGAAUCAACAUGAUUGUUGUAUAUUUAGCACAAAUCGACAAAAUACGAGUUCAGAG